UACGUAGGGUGCGAGCGUUGUCCGGAUUUAUUGGGCGUAAAGAGCUCGUAGGCGGUUUGUCGCGUCGGCCGUGAAAUCUCCACGCUUAACGUGGAGCGUGCGGUCGAUACGGGCAGACUUGAGUUCGGUAGGGGAGACUGGAAUUCCUGGUAUAGCGGUGAAAUGCGCAGAUAUCAGGAGGAACACCAGCGGCGAAGGCGGCGCUCUGGGCCGGAACUGACGCUGAGGAGCGAAAGCGUGGGUAGCAAACAGG
rnacentral:rRNA from 1 species